rnacentral:rRNA from 1 species
GAAUUGCUAGUAAUCGCGGAUCAGCAUGUCGCGGUGAAUACGUUCCCGGGCCUUGUACACACCGCCCGUCACACCAUGAGAGUUGGCAAUACCCAACGUACGUGACCUAACCCGCAAGGGAGGAAGCGUCCUAAGGUAGGGUCAGCGAUUGGGGUGAAGUCGUAACAAGGUAGC